AUAAGUAAAUCUACGUUCACAAACUAAAUUGUUUAUGCACUUCACAUUUCGUGAGCAAGUACCUAAAUACGUUUUUGUAUUACAAAGCAAUAGUCAUCAUGUACAACACUACUCGUGUCGAUCGAGUGUAUCACGCCGUCUUGACAUCGGUCGACCAAAAUACAUAGUCGCUGUGCCAUAUAUACUUGACUGAGUAUAGGUAGUACAAUAUACAUUAAACACUCAUCAGUCGCGUAUAGCUCCUCAACGGAGUGUAUACCUAAAGACGCCUUCCUAUACAGCUUUCUGGAAAUGUUCAGAGAAAUCACUACAAGAACCCACCAACAAUAGAACGUCUUAUUUGGAAACCGCGAUCAAAACAAACACUCGAUCCAUCAAAUUGUUCCGGAUCAAACUGAGAGGUCUAAGUGAGGAUUUUCUUCGUCAAAUACCGAUCGAUGGUUUUCUCCGGACGGUAGUCGAGAUGUACCUAUCGUUAUUUGAUAUUACUACGUCGGUUAUUGAAAAUCCGGUCGGCUGCAGAAAUGGAUUCCAUUGAUUUUAUUUUUUCUUCGUCCCUAGUCUCUCUCUCUCUCUCUCUCUUUAUAUGUUUUCGAACUGCAGUUUUCAAUCAAAUAGAAAACCUACUACAAAAAUAACUAUAACACUUUUUAUGUAGAUAAAUUUUAAUAACAAGUUAAUUUUGAACGAGUGGUUUUCUUCUUUUAUCGUGUUCUUAUUUUGCUAGUUGUUACGAGUUAGACUAAUACGAAUAUUACCAAUUUCAAUGUAUUACUUUUAAAAUUUUCAAGAAUGUUUGACCUACAUGUUAUUAUUCCUGUUUAUAAACUAUUAUUGAUUUUUUUGCUCGUUAAAAUACCGAUUAACUUAAUGCUAUAAUUGAGUAAUAAAUAUACGUUUGACGCCUGCCAUGCACGUCUGUCCGUUUCAAAUGCUGUUGCUAUUGCGAGCCUUAACAAUAGAUAACAUUAUUGUCGUCUCAAAGACAUUUUUGCUUCUCAAUCCAUUUCCGUUGGGGCUUAGGCCAAAUUAAUUGUACAGACAGGUAUACCUUUACAAUAAUAUUGUUUUAUUGGCAUUUAAUUAUUAAUUAAAUAUUUUACUGUCAUAUGUCGUACAAACUAUAAAGUAUUGCAGUGUGCGCUUGUAUUAUAUAUUGUAUACAAGUAAAUAGCAGUCAUUAUUUAUCACGGCGUACUGGUGAAAUAUGGUUACUACUUUCAAGAAUUUCAGUUUGCACACAUUGGAUUGGAUUAGACUGCAGCGUAUAACAUUAAUUAUUGGUUUUAAUUUAAUUUUAUACAUUCAAAGUAUUUUUUUAUAUAUAGGUACCUAUAUUUUUAUUAUUUUUAUAUAAUAAUAGAUAAUAAAUAAUCGAAAACAAUAAUACGGUGCACUGUUAAACUGCUUCGAUCUCCAUUCCAAAACAUCACAAAUAAUUUGAAUUGAAAAUAUCGUCUUAAUAACGUGAGUACCUAUAUUACUACUUUGUCCUUCAGUCGCACCAUAGCGGUUAUUUGAUUCAAAUUAUUUUUAUAUUUUCGAUUAUUCUAAUAUUGUAAUGCAUUGAUACCCAUGUUAUAAUAACACAUAACGGUUAUUUCGAAUAAUUUUAAAACGAGUAAAUAAAAUAUAUAUUUAGGUAGGUUGGGCGUAUAAUAAAAUAAUUCACUAUAUGAAAUUAAUAUUGUAAUUGCAUAUCGUAUAAUUAUAUCAUCAAUACUAAUUGGCAA